rnacentral:rRNA from 1 species
ACACGUAGGGGCCUGACGUUGUUCGGAAUCAUUGGGCGUAAAGGGCGCGCAGGCGGCCGUCCAAGUCCGGUGUUAAAUGGUCGGGCUCAACCCGAUCAUGCGCUGGAAACUGGGCGGCUUGAGUCCCGUAGGGGAUGCCGGAAUUCCAGGUGUAGGGGUUAAAUCUGUAGAUAUCUGGAAGAACACCGAUGGCGAAGGCAGGCAUCUGGCCGGAGACUGACGCUGAGGCGCGAAGGCGCGGGGAGCGAACAGGUUUAGAUACCCUGGUAGUCCGCGCAGUAAACGAUGCGCACCAGGUGUCGGGCGGCAGCGCCCGGUACCGGAGCUAACGCGAUGAGUGCGCCGCCUGGGGAGUAUGCCCGCAAGGGUGAAACUCAAAGGAAUUGACGGGG